rnacentral:rRNA from 1 species
UACGAAGGGGGCUAGCGUUGUUCGGAUUUACUGGGCGUAAAGCGCACGUAGGCGGGUCGUUAAGUCAGGGGUGAAAUCCCGGAGCUCAACUCCGGAACUGCCUUUGAUACUGGCGACCUUGAGGCUGGAAGAGGUUAGUGGAAUUCCCAGUGUAUAGGUGAAAUUCGUAGAUAUUGGGAAGAACACCAGUGGCGAAGGCGGCUAACUGGUCCAGAUCUGACGCUGAGGUGCGAAAGCGUGGGGAGCAAACAGG